UUUCAACAUUAUAUUUGAAAUUAUAGGGUAAAUUGCCAAAUGAUCUAAGUACAAUUAUGUCAUCUUUCAUGUACACCCCCAUUCUGAUAAUUUCGACCAGGAAGUUACUAUUAAUAACUUAUCUAAAUUCCGCGAAAACGAAACAAGUUCUCGCGGAAAUAGUAUGACCUAAGACGCUUUUGAGAUAAAUAUGAAAGCAAGAGAUAUGAUCCUCUGAACUUCUUACGUUCCGGCAGUAUAGCCUUCCUAAAGUGUGGUGUCCGUUUAGCUGUGUGGGAUGUUUAAAUACAAAGUCACGACCGGGCGGAAUGGGGACGUUUCCGAAGUCUAGUGUAGGAUUGAUAAACAACCCCAGAAGAUAUAAAUGUUACAGGACGGACACAAUAUGCAUGUACAAACUGAUGAACGAAAUUGCAGUUUGAUAUUAUUUUCAUCCAUAUUGAAAACAGAUUCUCAACAGAGAAAAUUUCAAGAAUAUUGCAGAAAAAUACCUUUUAUUCAUAUAACUUAUAUUUGUAUAUCGUAUUGAUUAUUUUGGUUGAUGUGUGACCCAAUUGCACUGUCAACUUGAUCAACGUUUUCAUUUUAUUCUUUUGUAAUAGCAGAUGCCAUAGAUUGAUUGAUUGUUGUUUGCUUAACGUCCAGUGGGGCAUAACAGCAUACACGUAUGAUAUAGACCUUAUCAUUCUGAAAAAUGGUAUUCCAUUAGAAUAAAUUAAGGAUCGUUUCAGAAUCUUCAAUAACAUAUUCAUGUAUACUUGACAUGUGAUAUUUACACUUAUUCAUUUUUCAAAAACCGCAAAUAUGUGAUACUUUCAAGUUAUCUAUAUUGCCUUAUGGUAUAAUCAAACUAGUGCUUCAUUGACGUUUAUAAUUAAUUGACAUCAUCAUUCGAUACUGCAUGCAUCAAUUUACCAAAACUUGUAUUAUGAACAAGGACUAACAUGACCGGAUAGAACUUACAUUUAACGGUAUUGUCAGAUAUUGUUAUGUUAUUACCGUCACAUCUAAGGUUAAUCUAGUCAUAUUAGUCACAUUGUACAACAUACAAGGUUUUGAGAUGAACUAAAUUCUUAUUAAUACAUGGACACGAUGAACAGAAUAUUUCAUGAAAUCCUGAUUUUAUACAAACCUGGCACUGUUGGGAGCAAUACCAAAUGCUCUGACAUGUUGAACAGAGGUAUAAACUAAACUUUCCACACAUUAUGCAGUUACCAAAAAUAUGUUGCGCCUUGGAACCUGCUUCCUGUUGCGGCAUACCGCUGCCUUGGACUACUUGAGAAUUGGGUAUCAUGCCUUGGGCCUUGACAUUCAACAUGUCUGGACUGCAGUUUUCCUGCUGUUGCUGAAUUGUUUGUUGUAAUUUUGCCUGGUGAACCUUAAAAGAUAAACCAAACAGAAAAUCUUGUAACAUCUUAAUGUUUGUAACACAGUAUAGGAAUGCUAUAUAGUUGUAAACUGUAUGUAGUAUCGAUGAAAAGGAUGGAAAUUAACAAGAAGAUGUAAAUUUGUGGAAUAUUCACUAUGGUUAGACUUUAAUUACUGUUUGUUCCGAAGAAUAUAAGACUAAAUGUAUUUAAUUAUUUAACUGAAGGGCAUGUUGUAUAUUUGUAUGUUAUGGUUUAUUCAAUUAAUGAAGUUUUCGUGAAAAGUAUGUAUUGAAGACAAACGACAUGACAGGUAGUUUCUGAAAGUUAUGUACAAUUAUCUAUCUGGUUGGUAACUAGAUAAAGGUAAAAUAACAACAAUAAAUAAAAAGAUCAGUGCAUACGA